UACGUUCCCACAGUUGACAGUGAAUAUCAGAGCAAAAAAAACAAGUUAUGAGGUAGAAGGCAUUGUCCGGAGAGUGAGAUUCUGAUGAAAGGCAGCAAAGUCUCGAUCUCGUCAGGAAGACCCUGAGCAGCUGCGGUUGAAACAGAAAGCCAAAGAGAUGCAGGAGCUGUUUCAGUUGAGAUCGAAGGAAGCUAACCUGAUGGCACUGGCAAUUGUCGGCCCCAGGAAGAUGAGGAAAAUGGAGGCAGCAGCCGCUGGAGCUGAGAACAUGGGCUCUGGGUCAUGUCCCUCUGCGUCUGGUAGUGCUAGUUCUGGAGCGUCCAGACAAUUUACCCGCCAGAGCAUCACUCGUGUCGACCCCAGGGACAUGCUCUUCUGUCUGGAGAAUGAGAGAGAGACCAGUCACUCCCACUUCAUCGACAGAAGCUUCCUUAAAAAGACACCCCAUAGAGACAGACCGGAGAGCUGUCACUCUCGCAUCCACUAUAGCAACUCCCUCAAAUAGAGAGCCCAGACAAAAAGGUAUCUACCCUAGAAUUGGAUAAGAGGGAUGGGACAGUGAUAAAUGGAUAUCAUGCUUCUCCAGGUCACAGUGAAUGGAUCUGACCAAAGUGAAUGGAACGUUUGUCUCCACUGUAUACUCUGGUUGUCCUUUUGUUCUCCAUCUAGUUCUACGCCUGACUGCUCCCUCUACACUCCACCUUCCCCCAGAACAUUCCUGGGACUCUCACAUCUUCUAGAUUUUUAUAAAUGUUUUACUUACAAUGGAAUUCUAAAAAUAAAAAAGUAAAGAAGUAAAUAUUUGCAUUAUAUUAAUAUACAUUUGACUUGGAAGGCCAUUUUGUAGUUGCAAAUGACAGUUGUACACAUUAGGCCUACUGGUCAAAUGCACAUGAGGGGGUACUUCAGGGGUACUUAAGGCAGAGCAAAAUUCAGUUGGUGGUUCAGUAACCAAAAAAGGUUCGGAACCACUUGUCGUCUGAGUUUCCUUCCUGACAAAAUAAGCCAUAUAUUUGUAUCUGAUCUUAAACAGCAACGCAGUGACUCUAGUGACACUAUUUUACUUUAACUUUUUAUUUUCUUUACCCUUUAACGUGUAUACUUUUACUGCAUUUAUACUAAUGGGAUAUCGCUGUUCAACAGGAAAAGUUAAAUGACAAGAGGACGUCUUUAAGGACUGCAUGUAUUCUAUUACCCUUUUCUCAAAUAACUUAUUAGUGGGGAUAAUGUUCUAUUCUAAACAUCAAAACAUGCAAACGUUGUACCUUUUUCUAGUGAGAUUCUGAUGAUAUUUAAUAUUAGUGUGAACGAGGAUGUUAUGCUUUCCUAUCUGCUCAAUCGGUGCUUCUGUUCCGAUGCCUCAUUGGACAGCCCUAGCUAGAGCUCAGUAUUUCUUUUCCAGAUCACUUUGAUUUUAGAUGCAGAUUGUUCAAUACCUUUCCAUAUUUGCCUCUUACAAAGAAAUAAAAGUAAGAGGGG